rnacentral:rRNA from 1 species
UACAACUUUCAGCAACGGAUCUCUUGGCUCUCGCAUCGAUGAAGAACGCAGCGAAAUGCGAUAAGUAAUGUGAAUUGCAGAAUUCAGUGAAUCAUCGAAUCUUUGAACGCACCUUGCGCUCCUUGGUAUUCCGAGGAGCAUGCCUGUUUGAGUGUCAUUAAAUUCUCAACCUU